UAGCGCAGAGGUUAGCAUGUCAGCCUUUGACGCUGAACGCCUGGGUUCAAAUCCUGG
rnacentral:tRNA from 1 species